GGGAAGAACCGACAGAAGUUGGGUUUACAUUCUUUACGACACGUAGAGGUGGGCAAACACUUUAUCAAAAUGAAGCUAGAGACUGAGUUGAUUGAGUUGCCGCAUGUUUGAUCAGAAGAGCAGCUAACGUGAAUGGGGAGAAAGGGGGAAACAUGCUUCUGGUUUAUUUAUUGUUCUUUUUUGUGUGGGAAUAUAAUAAAGAAAAUGGUAUAG
rnacentral:lncRNA from 1 species